CCCUUAGAUGUUCUGGGCUGCACGCGCGCUACACUGAUGCACUCAACGAGUUUACGACCUUGCCCGAUAGGGUUGGGUAAUCUUUUUAAAAUGCAUCGUGAUGGGGAUAGAUUAUUGCAAUUAUUAAUCUUCAACGAGGAAUUCCUAGUAGACGUAGUUCAUCAGACUGCAUCGAUUACGUCCCUGCCCUUUGUACACACCGCCCGUCGCUCCUACCGAUUGAAUGCUCAGGUGAGCCAUUCGGACUUUCAUCAUGCUGGUUUCCAGUUUUGAUGAAGGAAAGUCUUGCGAACCUUAUCAUUUAGAGGAAGGAGAAGUCGUAACA
rnacentral:rRNA from 1 species